AUUGAACGCUGGCGGCAUGCCUUACACAUGCAAGUCGAACGGUAACGGGCCUUCGGGUGCCGACGAGUGGCGAACGGGUGAGUAAUACAUCGGAACGUGCCCGAUCGUGGGGGAUAACGAGGCGAAAGCUUUGCUAAUACCGCAUACGAGCUACGGAUGAAAGCAGGGGACCGCAAGGCCUUGCGCGGGCGGGGCGGCCGAUGGCAGAUUAGGUAGUUGGUGGGAUAAAAGCUUACCAAGCCGACGAUCUGUAGCUGGUCUGAGAGGAUGAUCAGCCACACUGGGACUGAGACACGGCCCAGACUCCUACGGGAGGCAGCAGUGGGGAAUUUUGGACAAUGGGCGCAAGCCUGAUCCAGCCAUGCCGCGUGCAGGAUGAAGGCCUUCGGGUUGUAAACUGCUUUUGUACGGAACGAAAAGCCUUCUUUUAAUACAGGAGGGUCAUGACGGUACCGUAAGAAUAAGCACCGGCUAACUACGUG
rnacentral:rRNA from 1 species